AUGGAUUCUUGGUCUAGAUUGCACGCUGGCGGCAGGCCUAACACAUAGACAAGUCGGAACGGUAACAGGAAGCAGCUUGCUGCUUUGCUGACGAGUGGCGGACGGGUGAGUAAUGUCUGGGAAACUGCCUGAUGGAGGGGGAUAACUACUGGAAACGGUGGCUAAUACCGCAUAACGUCGCAAGACCAAAGAGGGGGACCUUCGGGCCUCUUGCCAUCAGAUGUGCCCAGAUGGGAUUAGCUUGUUGGUGAGGUAACGGCUCACCAAGGCGACGAUCCCUAGCUGGUCUGAGAGGAUGACCAGCCACACUGGAACUGAGACACGGUCCAGACUCCUACGGGAGGCAGCAGUGGGGAAUAUUGCACAAUGGGCGCAAGCCUGAUGCAGCCAUGCCGCGUGUAUGAAGAAGGCCUUCGGGUUGUAAAGUACUUUCAGCGGGGAGGAAGGUGUUGUGGUUAAUAACCGCAGCAAUUGACGUUACCCGCAGAAGAAGCACCGGCUAACUCCGUGCCAGCCGCCGCGGUAAUUA
rnacentral:rRNA from 1 species